rnacentral:rRNA from 1 species
GGGGAAGAGCUCAAAUUUUAAAUCUACCAGGUUUACCUGGUCGAGUUGUAAUUUGAAGAAGCGUUUUUCGCGUCUCGGUUGGUCCAAAUCCUUUGGGAUAAGGUAUCAUGGAGGGUGAGAAUCCCGUUCGGCCGACCUUGUGACGUUUUACGAUACGCU